CUUACAAUGGGUUCUAGACUCUUGGUAAAGAAUCAGGACAACAGGCUCCUUUUGCAGGCCCAGCCCAGGUGUGGGAUGGAACCACCACACUAAAGCUGGAUGCUAUGAGUCUUCUUGACUGCAAGGCCUUCCUCUACAUCUUAAGUUUCCAGACCACUUGCUUCUUUGUGGAACAAUGUCUGCCUUGAACUGCAGCAGUAAUUUGCCACUGCUUUCCCUGAACACUGAACUCUACGACUCUAUCAGAUGCUAGCCACGGUGAGCUUCCGCCUGAGUUUGGGGAGGGCAUAUGAUGUUGCCUCCUGCUGUCUGAUCUAUGCCAAAGCCUCCUGAGGCCCUUGCAGCCAUUAGAUCAAAUCUUUCCAAAGAUCUGUCCAGGAAACACUGAUUAGUGCAACGAGACUUCGAUCUAAGUGGGAAAAAAAAGUCUCUACUCUCUUGAAAUCACAUAAAGAUGCAUCAUGGAUAUUUUGAGUAUAAUGUGGCUCUUCCAGAGACACCCAGACUUAGCAGGCUUCACUCCCAGACCCAACCAGAAUGGGCAGAUGACAUGAUGACAAUGGUGGAAGGCAAGAGGAACAAACACAUGACAGUCCUACUCCCUGUUGACCUAAAGUGUUUCUCCAUACACAGUGAACAUAAGCUUACCCUGGUCCCUGAAGAGUACGACUGUUUUGCAAACCAUCAUCUGGCAAGUUCUCAGGAGGGCACUGUUUCCAUCUGGAAAUAAAGUUUCUGACAUGGUUUCCAAUGACACAAAUCUCAUCUGGAAAUCCCACUUCCUUUCUUGGCUUCUUAAAUCUCUGGAUCAAGAGAAGUGGGACUUCUACAGACAAGAAGCAUCCGAGCAUCCGAGCAUCCUCACAAAGCCAGGCUGUCAGGAAAGCUCUGCCCAACAGGAAGGAGGAAGAAGAGCCGCAGGUUGAGUAUCUUAUUACCCAUGCCUUGUAAAGCUCCUAGCAAGUGACCUGCAUGUAUAAUUGUGUCAUACAGAUAAUUUAUCAUUCUUAUCAUUGUGUGCAUAUAUACAAACUUACAUACAGAUUAUAUGCAUAAAUAUUUCAAAAUGC